UACGAAGGGGGCUAGCGUUGCUCGGAAUCACUGGGCGUAAAGCGCACGUAGGCGGACUCUUAAGUCGGUGGUGAAAUCCUGGAGCUCAACUCCAGAACUGCCUCCGAUACUGGGAGCCUUCGAGUCCGGGAGAGGUGAGUGGAACUGCGAGUGUAGAGGUGAAAUUCGUAGAUAUUCGCAAGAACACCAGUGGCGAAGGCGGCUCACUGGCCCGGUACUGACGCUGAGGAGCGAAAGCGUGGGGAGCAAACAGG
rnacentral:rRNA from 1 species